UACGAAGGGUGCAAACGUUGCUCGGAAUUAUUGGGCGUAAAGCGCACGUAGGCGGCUUGGCAAGUCGGAUGUGAAAUCCCUCGGCUCAACCAAGGAAGUGCAUCCGAAACUGCCGAGCUUGAGUACUUAAGAGGAUCGCGGAAUUCCCGGUGUAGAGGUGAAAUUCGUAGAUAUCGGGAGGAACACCAGUGGCGAAGGCGGCGCUCUGGGAAGAUACUGACGCUGAGGAGCGAAAGCGUGGGGAGCAAACAGG
rnacentral:rRNA from 1 species